rnacentral:rRNA from 1 species
GACGAACGCUGGCGGCGUGCUUAACACAUGCAAGUCGAACGGUGACGAGGAGCUUGCUCCUCUGAUCAGUGGCGAACGGGUGAGUAACACGUGAGCAACCUGCCCCAGACUCUGGGAUAACAGUUGGAAACAGCUGCUAAUACCGGAUACGAGACGGAGAGGCAUCUCUACCGUCUGGAAGGUUUUUCGGUCUGGGAUGGACUCGCGGCCUAUCAGCUAGUUGGUGAGGUAAUGGCUCACCAAGGCGACGACGGGUAGCCGGCCUGAGAGGGCGACCGGCCACACUGGGACUGAGACACGGCCCAGACUCCUACGGGAGGCAGCAGUGGGGAAUAUUGCACAAUGGGCGAAAGCCUGAUGCAGCGACGCCGCGUGAGGGAUGACGGCCUUCGGGUUGUAAACCUCUUCCAGCAGGGAAGAAGCGAAAGUGACGGUACCUGCAGAAGAAGCACCGGCUAACUACGUG